CCUACGGGAGGCAGCAGUGAGGAAUAUUGGUCAAUGGACGAGAGUCUGAACCAGCCAAGUAGCGUGAAGGAUGACUGCCCUAUGGGUUGUAAACUUCUUUUAUAUGGGAAUAAAAUGUUCCACGUGUGGGAGUUUGUGUGUACCAUAUGAAUAAGGAUCGGCUAACUCCGUGCCAGCAGCCGCGGUAAUACGGAGGAUCCGAGCGUUAUCCGGAUUUCUUGGGUUUAAAGGGAGCGUAGGUGGGUUGUUAAGUCAGUUGUGAAAGUUUGCGGCUCAACCGUAAAAUUGCAGUUGAAACUGGCAGUCUGGAGGACAGUAGAGGUGGGCGGAAGUCGUGGUGUAGCGGUGAAAUGCUGAGAUAUCACGCAGAACUCCGAUUGCGAAGGCAGCUCGCUGGACUGCAACUGACACUGAGGCUCGAAAGUGUGGGUAUCAAACAGGAUUAGAUACCCUAGUAGUC
rnacentral:rRNA from 1 species